rnacentral:lncRNA from 1 species
CAAGAAUACAAGAGGCACUGCAGUGGUGCAUUUGCAUCAUAAUAAGAAGACCAUGACACGGUUGCCUACUUCGACCACAUAGAGUAGCUCCAGCAGCAAAUGAGUGAAAGACAGUGGAAUUCGGAAAAGUCAAGACGAGAUUGCAAAAAAGACUCUUCAACCAGGAAGAGACCGCCUUUUGUAAUCCUCAAAGGCCAACGAGACCAAGAACUAUUGCUACAGC